rnacentral:misc_RNA from 1 species
UGAUCUUACGCAACGAUUUCAGUGUCUAGCUGUUUAAAUUUGUUUGUUUUGGAAACCUGAUUCAAAAUUUAUACGUUUGGAAGGCAGAGUCAGUUAUAAUGGCCGAUUUCCAUGAGCUUAUUGUGACUUGCAUUAUUUUCCUCUACCAAAUUACUUUGAUUUUCCGAUCAAUCCACCCCUUCAGAAAAGACGCUAUGAUGCUUAUUUUGCACAACGUUUUGCUGUACUACGUGAUCAAUAUGUUCAAGCACUUGGCCCAGGCAUCGAUUAACUCGGACGGACCGGUGAACACAUUCUACUACGUACCACUGGUGUAUGAGGAAAACAUUGCCUUGGGACGCCAUCAGAGUUGGCAUGAGGUCCUUAGGACAUCCAGCUGGCAAUUCUUUGAGGUCCUUUUCAGACAUCAUCUGGCCCUGCUCUUGCCAUUUAAUUUGGCUAUCCUGGUGCCCGUAAGAACGCUGCAAGUUGGCCUUCAUUAGCACAUUGGUUCUCUUGUCCAACUUUGUGCUGUUCGUCUGUUUCGCCUCGGCCAUUUGUCAGCUGUUGUGGGUCCAUGGCCACGCCCACAGCCUGCGCCUCCUCACAAUCGUGUGUUUGGGCCCCGUUUCCCAAGUGGUCCUGGUGUGCCGCCUCCUGGGCCGCGUGUGGCUCAGUCAGUGGAUUCUUGUUUGAGGCAUGAAAUUUGAUUUGCCGGCACUGAUUGCUGGCCAAAAGCCACACCCCAUCCAUCGUAAUCAGCACCACAGAAGUUUAGCAACAGCAGCAGUAGCAGGAGCAGCGGCAAAUCAAAGCAAUAAACCAACUGAACCCAUCCGAAAA